AGGAAGACCAGUUGAUAUGACAAAAAUCAAUCACCAUUUCAAGGUUCCUGGCACACGAGCUUUCAGAGACUCAGGUCACUCCAGUUGCCUUUCUCCAUGUGCUGUUACAUUGAAUUCCCUCACUUCAAAAGAUGUGCUUAAGGUAGAGGAACCUUUUCUUCGUUGGAGGCAGGCAAUGCUCCUGAACUCUUGGUCAUUGGUGCUGCUCUGAAGUCAAGGAGAAAUACUCUGUACCAGCAUGUUGUUGCAAUGUGUCGUUAAGAAGCUGGAAAGUGGCUGCCUCUGAUGUGUGUUAUACUUGUACAGCUUCAUGUAUGAACACUACAAGUUAAUUUUUAGAUAGCAUGUAUUUAUCUUGGAGAGCUGGCUUAUGGCAGCUUCGUGUUUAUCUGCUCUGUAAGAAUCUUGAGGAGUCAUUGUGAAGGAUACAUUGUGUGGUCAGUUUUUUGUCAGUUUAGCAACAUGCUGGUGAUUGAUUAUUCUUAAAUGAAAUACUUCUGGCAUAGUUUCCUGUACUGGCCCAUUACCCAGUCCCACUUCUGACACAACCCAGUGCUGAUGAGACUUCGAGAAGCUGUAACUUCUCUAUCCAACAAGGAGAGUUUUGGUGAAAAAGUUUCCAUGUAUGAAACCCGAAGUGACCAAGUGCACCACGAAGAGGAAGAAAUAUUUUUUCACCUGACCCUUCUUAUUUGGACUGUUAUCUAAACUAUCAAAGGACGAGAAAAAUGUCUGAAACAAGCUCUCCUGUUCCUCUACUGUACACCAAAACAUGACCCCCAGCUCAGGCUAGAAUAAAUAAAAUGGGGAGAUUCCUGAAGUUACAGGACCACAUGGUUACCCUUAUCCAACUGUGAUUGAGGAGGCAGCAGUCCCCACACCUCCAUGGUGCCUGGCCUUGGGGACUGUUGCACUGCAGGGGUCACUGUGUUCCCUGGUGAAUCCAAACCUUGCUGGCUUCUUUACAGUAAGUAUAGUGACUUGCACUACCAAUGAAUGCAGCCGGGGUGUUUUUCUAUGAAACUUACUACUUCUUUUUUUUAUUAUUAUUUUUUUAAUAUAUAUUUCUUGAUACCACUUGCUUUAUAUGCCUCUUUGGAGGACUGAACUUGUGUUUAGUGCCAUGACAAUAUGUCACUCCAGAUCUGCGAAAGACAGCGUAAGGUCAGUGAAGAGAAGCCUUCCCUUUCCAAUAGCCGGUGUCUAUAUAUAAAUUGGCACUUGAUGCUCAUCAAAGAACAAGAAAUAUUGGAUAUGCUCUAAAUGUCCAUUGCAUUUUUGAGCCAACUACCUGAUGGAAGUCAUCACUUAUAUGUAAAUGAACUGUCAAUGGCUUGCCUCUGUUGGCAGUCGCUGGACUGUGAAGGGUAUGUCUUAAUAAGAACCAAAGCUCUUCACAGACUUUGAUUUACUGGAAAUAAAAUAGAAAAGUCCUCUGAGACUACAAAGGACACUUGUUUCAGAUAAAAUGUCUAGACAGUAGCAAUAUAUUUGGGGCUUUUAUUAUAGCAAAACUGCAAAUUAGAAUAGAGUGCUGAGAAAGUUCCUAUGACCCAGCUGAGUUCAAAAACACUGUUUCAGACUGAUCCGUGAAACACACUCAAAUUAAGUUCAUGAGCCUUCAAAAGGGAAAGAAAAGAUGUGCAAGGUCGAUGUUCAGGUUUUGCUAGAACUCUAGAGCUUCCCAGUUUUUACAUUCCCUCUGACAAGGAGAGAUUUGCAAUUCCGCCAUGAUUUAAAUCAUUUAAAGAAAACACAAAUUGUGCAUUGUGUUUCACUGCAUUAGAUAACAGUAUGCUUUACAGUCCAUUCUUGUAUGAUGGCCUUUUUCUUUGAUUAUUGAAUAUAAAACACAAAAGAAAGAUUAAUUCUGUGAAAUGUUAGAUUUUAGGGAAGAAAAUCAGAAUGAAACUGAAGCAUGAUUUAACUAAGACAUGUCUGUCCCUUGUUUUAGGGAAGGCAAAUCAUACGGCAUUUCUGAUAUGGAAUUUUCAGAAUGUCCAGUUCCUCUGAAAACUAUCACUGUUAGUAAAAUUGUUAUUUUAUUAUUAUCAUUGCCAGUUUUUUAUCAUCCAGAAUUUUUAAAAGAUAUACCAAAUUGGAGAAUACAAACCAGUUAGGAUGAACCUGUACCUUUUAUUGCAGUCUGUGUAACACAGGCUCAGUAUUUUUGCACAAGAGAAUUUACAUGCCAAAUAUAAAUACAGUAUGUGAGAGUCUGGGUACUUAAGUUAGAAUCUUGAUUGCCUGCAUGGCUAAUGGAGAUUCCAGAAGGCAACACAGUAAAUCAUCGAUUAUCAGCACCAGAGUGCUCUGAAUCAUCUUCUGUGUCGGCCCAGCUUUCCAGGAAUUGUCCUGCACUCUUUGUGAUUGCUUCUGUUUCCAUCUGUACAGAGAUCAAAUGAAGACACAUGGUGGUGCACCCUACCAGCGUUUCUUCCCAGUUGCCAUCUUUGGUAUCGGCAGCUCUGGCUUUGUAAGAAACACACCUGUCACUGAUUUCCAGAGAAUUAAUGCACUGAUAGCUUUCCACAUGCCUGAAACAACAGCUCUUGGAGGUGUCAGCUGCCUGGGAAUCCGUGACACAUCACAUUAGAUAAUUAAAAAAAAAAAAAAAAAAAAAUUGAUUUUGUUAGCUGUCAGUUUUUUCACAGUGCAGGUUUAUGAUGCUUGAGUAACUUGUCUGUGACAUGGGUCUCAAAGCAGAAAUUCAUAUGAUGCUCUUAGUCUUUAAGUGUUGGUUUUGAGGUGGAAGGUCAAGAUGAGAUUCAGAAGACUGAAUAAUUCUUGCAGACCUGAAUGAGAUCAUCCAUUUGCUAUUUCCAUCCAAAUAUAAAACCAGAAAGAGUUUAAGAGGAUCAAGUUGAGUUUGCAAGCAAUCUGAAAUCUUAUCUCUUAGUGGUACAAAAGGCCCCUUCCAAUUCACUAGACUACCAGUCCUGGAAGCUGAACAGUAGCAAUUCUGUGCCCCUUUCAGUGUAUAGAAGUCUAGAUUCAGCUCGAUCCUUAUGUACUUGGGUAGUUUAUUAAAUGAUCAUGGUCCAUGGUUUUAGUUCCCCUGUAAAAUUAAUAUAAACCCUAAGGUUAAAUAGUAAACAUUGUCAGCAUGAUGACUGCUGUAGGUGUUCCAAAAAUAAAUUUUACUUGAUAGUAACUGAAUUUCUGUGUAGUCCAACAGAUGAGUCAUUAGAUAAUGUCCACAGAGGUCAAUUUUAUUUAUACUUUCAGAUUAGUAUUCAAUGUUUUAUAAAUCCAAGUGUAUGCAUAACAACAGACUGAAUUCAAUCCAAGAAAUGUAAAUGGAUAAUCAUAAUGUCUUUUGGGGCUUCCUAGUGAUUCAAUAUUUGAUACUCUGAUCAUAGCCAUAGUGUACCAUGUAAUCUUUUAUCCUGUCAUUGGGCUGGUAAAUACUGUUACAAAUACAAAAUUAACAGACUCAAUCCCAUACGUACAAGUAUAAUUUCAUGCAAGUCAUAGUAGAUUGUUUGCAGGCUCCUCAACAAGGCUUUGUACCACAUCCAUCCAGGCAUGCAGUCUUUCAAAUAUUUGAACAAGUCACUGUUGUCAGACAAUAUAGAAUAUGAAAAAAAAUACAUACAAUUUUAGAAAAAUUAGGCUAAAAACCACAAAGAAAUCACAUUUAGAAUAUUAAAUGAGCAAAGGGCAAUAUUCCUACCUAUGUCUUCCUUGUUUUGAAGUAUGUGAUUCAAACAUUACCUGUUAUCACAGAAAUAAUGAAAAGGGCUGUUUUACCACGAGCAGUACACUGCUGUAGUAGUUUCACUGCCUGAAGUAUUAUCUGGAACAUCUACUUUACAUUCAAGUAAGUGCUACAUUUAGAACGUAUUUUUAUUCUACCUAAAGUAUGUAGUGCAUUAGACCUUAACGUACCCUCUAGCUACAGACAUGGGCCCAGAAGAUAUGGGCUAAAAAUAGGAAUUACUCUAGAAGCAAUAAUUUGUUUGAAAGCCAUAAACUGAAUUCCCAAGCAGCAGUGAAUGAUUGUCCUCUCUGCUGGAGAGAAACCUCCUCAGCAGAUCCUCUUUUGCAGUUUGCAAAUUUGAAAUUCGUACAAAAAAGAGUAAUAGAAAAAGUUAGAAAAAUUUGAACAUGCCAUUAAUGCCUGCAGGAGGAUGAAGUAGUGUUUGUGAAUUCCUCUUAGCAAUAGUUACUUUUCAGUGCUUUAUUUUCUCCAUUGGGAAUAAGGUAAUUAUCAGUAAGAGUAGCAGUGAGGAAGAAAAAUAAAAUUGUUUAUUAUUGGACCAAUUGAGCCCAGCAAGAUGAAGGCCAAAUUGUUUUUUGCUUGUCUGAGUUUGAUUUUUAGUCAGUCUGGAUGUGUUUUUUGUUUAGCAGAGAACUUCAGUGAGGAGUAUGUUAUUUUAUAACUGAGGCCAAUAGAAAGUCAUUGGCAUAAUAAAACCCCAGAUUUUACAAUUUCAACGCAGCUGCUCCGUGACUUUUAAGCAACUGUGAAAUCACAUUGUUUAAACUGAUGUCUGGAUCCAGAUUUUUUUCUUUUUUUCUUUUUUUUUUUUUUCUAGAGAAGUCACCAGAAAUCCCUCAGAUCAACAACUGGUGUUGCAGCCUAACCAUUCUAGUGAGUGUUCACUAACCUCCAGUUAGAAAUAACCACCAGGUCAUCCUGUGUUAUACUCAAAUAUGAAAAUGAACAUAAUGUUACCAGUAUCAUCAAUUAAUUUGCUGUUACUAAUUUACCAGGGGAAAUAAAUUCGUUUAAUGAAAAACAUAGUUCUUUGGCUGACACACUGAUUACGUGCGGUGCCCUGAGCAAACUGGCAUUUCCAUUUUUUUUCAACUCUUUUAUGACUUAAACUGCAGCAGUUGGUAGUAUUUGAACGUACAGUUAUACUGUGCUAUCAAGAGUAUAUAUACCCCAUUUGUAAGAAGUAUUGCUUGCUUCUCAUGGACCAAAUUAUUCUGCAGUGAGAGGUGAAUUCUGGACCUUGGCUGCAGUUGGGACCUUCCUAUCCUGAACCUGUGAUCACACAAACAUCCAUACAAGUGAAUAUUUAUGCAAGUGAUACCUAAGUUUUUGUUUGUUUGUUUUACCUGAAAUUCCAACACCUAGGUAAACUUACUUGUUUAGCAGACUAGGACUCAAAGCUAGAUUUUUAGAUCUACAACACAAAACCUUGUAUGUUGAAUUUGAAUAAUUUUUCCUCCCACCUUACUGAUAAUGGUGUCUACAUCUGAUGGAUUUCAAAGAAAUAAGUGAGUCUGGAGGGUUCGACCUGGCACCUUGCAUCUGCAGGUGUGUUACACCCCACUCUCACAGCUGCAGCUGAGGAAAGGGGGUGUUUGCAAUAAAAAGGGGCUAGUGAUGUGGGGAGGAGAGGUAUGAAGCCAGCGGGUUUUGUGUGCUUGCCAGGAGAAUGCUGACAAGGAGCAGCUUGUCUUCAGUAAGGGUCACUAUUAAGUUACAGGGUAGGAGCUAAUUCUUCUGGUGAUUGACCCUUGGGACUGAGAAAACCAAUAGGUCAAGAGUCCUGUAGAAAAAUGGAAAUCUAGUUCAGAGGUUUCUGUGUAUUUUGUUUGGCUUUUGAGCUUCUUCAGAGCCUCAAAGAAGGAUCCCAGCAGCUGCUGCUCUUAAGAAAAAAAAGAAAAAAGAAAAAAAGAAAAGAGCUAAAGAGCUAUAGAGGAGGCUCUGGAGGAACAGGAAAGUGUGAUAGAGCAUUUGAAUUGAAGACAACAAGACAACAAGUUUGUGAUAUAUUUGAAAAAGGGCAUACUCUUCAGAGUAGCCUAGAAAAAGGACUGCAUACACCUUAAUCAGUAUUUUCUGGGAUAAAAGUACUGAGGAUAUUAUCAGGAUGGUGUACAUAAAUCAUAUAAGCAACACAGUGGGUGAAAGUGGAAACUGGGAGCUCAAAUAGAAGGGAUUGUAUAACAACUUUUUAUCUGUUUCUUAUUACUUCAAAAUUAGUACCAAUGAAUAAAACUAUCCUUUUCUUUUCAAUAGUUUAACUCAGUUUAUUGUAUCUGAUUCUAAAGGUCAAAUCAUUAUAUUUACACAAGUUUUACUCAAAGGUGGUUUGUACAUGUCAGUGGAGUUAUUCUAACUCUUAUAGAUGUAAAGAAAAAUAAUAGUUUAUCCCAAAAAGGAUUUUUGGUUUUUAUGUCACAGCCCAUGGAAAGCAUGAGACAAAAGUUACAUCCUGUGUUCUUUGGCAGGUAAGUAGCCUCACUGAAACAACUGUGCAUCACUGGACCACCUCUCAAGUUUACCCUCAUCUUAAAGUUAACACAGCCAAAAGGUUUUUACACAGUCGUCAGCCUCAGGUGUAGGCAUUGUAUAUGACAACCCAGUGCUGUGGUGGACAGAAAAGAUGUGUACUCUCUAGGUGUUAUUCUUUUGCAGUAUAAAGUAUUUACAGAGUGUACAUGGGAAAAUCGAUGAAGUGAGGCACAUUUUAGAUCUGAGUUGUAUAUGCACAGACAUUCCUCUGGAUGUAGGAGAGCCUUUUGCAGCUGUAGAGCCAUCCUUGGCUUUCAUUAAUGAUACCAUUGCUCACUGACAUUAAUAUGGUCAUCAGAAGUGGUUAGUUAUUCCUGUACCUGGAUCUGAAUGAUGCCUUCUGCACACUGAGGAGAGAAGAGGGAAAUUGUUAUAAUUUCCCCUGCAUACAGUGCUCCUGCACAGCUGAAAGGAGACAUCAUUUAGCCUGCCGUGCAUAAAAGGAGCAGGUUAGUGCAUGAGAUGUACUGGUUAAAUAAAACCUCAAGUCAAGUCUGAUAUC